UAGGGUGACCAACUGUCCUGGUUUGCCCAGGACUGAAGGGUUUCCCAGGAUGCAAGACUUUCAGGGCUAAAACCGGGAGAGUUCCGGGCAAACCGGGACAAGUUGGUCACCCUGAACAUCC
rnacentral:pre_miRNA from 1 species